rnacentral:rRNA from 1 species
AUGUCGGCGGCCGUGGCGUGCGCAGAGAGGGCGACGAGCGACAUGCUGAUCGGGCCCGACUGGGCCGUCAACAUCGAGCUCUGCGACAUCAUCAACAUGGAUCCCGGACAAGCAAAGGAUGCGCUUAAGCUCCUAAAGAAGCGCCUUGGGAAUAAGAAUUCAAAAGUGCAAAUUCUGGCCCUUUAUGUGCUAGAGACUCUAAGCAAAAAUUGCGGGGAUAUUGUUUACCAACAAAUCAUUGAGCGUGAUAUACUAAGUGAAAUGGUUAAGAUAGUAAAGAAAAAGCCAGACUUAAACGUUCGGGAGAAAAUAUUGAGUCUGAUUGACACAUGGCAAGUGGCUUUUGGAGGUCCUUCCGGGAGAUAUCCCCAGUACCACACUGCGUACCAAGAACUCAGGGCAGCUGGUGUCGAUUUUCCGCCUCGCGAGGAGAAUACAGUUCCACUGUUUACACCUCCUCAGACUCAACCUUUGAGGCAGCCACAUCUAUAUCCUCCAGGUCAAAGCUAUGAAGAUGUAGCUAUACAAGCUUCUCUCCAAUCUAGUACCCCUGCUGCACCUCCCCUGAGUCUAAGCGAGAUCCAGAGUGCUCGAGGAAUUGUGGAUGUGCUGGAUGAGAUGUUAAAUGCACUUGACCACAGACACCCAGAGGGUGUGAGGGAGGAGGUCAUUGUUGACCUUGUUGGGCAGUGUCGUUCUUAUCAUGCUCGUGUGAUGGAUCUUGUUAGCGAUACUGGUGAUGAGAGCCUUCUGUUUCAGGCUCUAGGACUAAAUGAUGAGUUGCAGCGUGUUCUUCAGCGUUAUGAUGACAUAGCAAAAGGAGUCCCUCCAAAUAUACCAGUGCCUGUUGCUGGUAACAUAAACCAAGGGACAGCCCCUCCUCGGCCUGCUGGUGCUUCAUUUGCCCCCCUUCUUAAUGUACACCAUGAGGACGAUGAACCAGAAGAUGAGUUCUCCGUGCUUUCCCGCAGGUCUGCAAGGGAUGGCGCAGCAGCACAGGGCAACAUGUCUUCUGUUCCAAGAAAUGAAAGGCCAUACCCAAGCCCACUUCUUCCUCCACCACCAUCGACAAAAAGGCCUGUUUACACAGAGGCAAGCAGUGUCGACUAUCUAAGUGGGGACUCCUAUAAGUCUGAAAAAGUACCAGAUGAUUUUGUCAACCCAACGGCCCCAGCCAAUAUGUCUGCACCAUCUCAUUCAAAAACAGAAACAGAUCAAGUGCCAAAUUAUGAUAGCAGGUCAGAAAAUGUGCCUGAUGAAUUCAUAAACCCAACUGCAGCACCCAGUUUUUCCAUGCCUUCUCGCCCUAUGAGUGAGCCAUCUGUGAAUAAGCUUGAGAGCCUUCCUGACGAUGACUUUAUAAACCCCACUGCGCUGCCUGGUUUUUCUUCAUCGUCAACUAGUGAAGAUCUUCCAAAAGCUCCAUGGGAAGCGCAAGCUCCAGUUUCCCUACCGCCUCCUCCUGCAAGGUAUGGCCAAAGACAGCAGUUCUUUGAGCAACAACAUGGCUUUCCUGGUGAGAACAAUGAAGGGGGCUACGAUGAGAUGCUGACGCGGACAGGAAGCCUUUCUCUUAAUCAAAGGAACACUGAGAAUGGGAAGAGCGCAUCAGUGUCGACCGCAUCCCGCCAGCCCAAACCUGAGGAUGCCCUUUUCAAGGAUCUUGUUGAUUUUGCCAAGAAGAAUCCAUCUUCUCCAUCUAAACCAGCCAACAGCCGCAGGACUCGCUGA